rnacentral:rRNA from 1 species
GACGAACGCUGGCGGCGUGCUUAACACAUGCAAGUCGAACGGAAAGGCCCUGCUUUUGUGGGGUGCUCGAGUGGCGAACGGGUGAGUAACACGUGAGUAACCUGCCCUUGACUUUGGGAUAACUUCAGGAAACUGGGGCUAAUACCGGAUAGGAGCUCCUGCUGCAUGGUGGGGGUUGGAAAGUUUCGGCGGUUGGGGAUGGACUCGCGGCUUAUCAGCUUGUUGGUGGGGUAGUGGCUUACCAAGGCUUUGACGGGUAGCCGGCCUGAGAGGGUGACCGGGCACAUUGGGACUGAGAUACGGCCCAGACUCCUACGGGAGGCAGCAGUGGGGAAUAUUGCACAAUGGGCGGAAGCCUGAGGCAGCAACGCCGCGUGCGGGAUGACGGCCUUCGGGUGGUAAACCGCUUUCGCCUGUGACGAAGCGUGAGUGACGGUAAUGGGUAAAGAAGCACCGGCUAACUACGUG